GUCAAAGUGUAGAUAGGAAGAAGUAAAAAGCCCGAAACUUAUAGAGAGAACUGCCACAGGCUGGAAGCAGUUCAGUGAAAUGCUUUUGAAAUGCGUCCUUGAAUUCUAAGGGGAAAUCAAAGUAUCCUUAGACGGAAGCCACCCGUUACAAUGCCUUAAAGUUGGAGAAGCUGUCUGAAUGUAAAACGAAGAGACGCAACUCAAACAGAGUGGAACCGCGCUAGACGUCUCUGUA
rnacentral:ncRNA from 1 species